rnacentral:tRNA from 1 species
GAAAUCUAUGUGAAUAUUCAAGGCCUGCUAAGCCCUAGAAUUUGUGGUUUAACUCCAUGAAGAUUUCG